rnacentral:tRNA from 1 species
GCGGAUGAGGUAAGCGCACUCUUCUAAGGAUGCGAUUGUAACCCACUCAAGGUUGGGGUUGAGGGUUCGAAUCCCUUCGCCCGCUCCA